AUGUUCUAUGCACAUUUUGCCCUCAGUAAGAGGGCCUCUGGCCAAAAUUUGGCUAGUGGCCCAUUGGGAUAAGAAGCUAACCAAAGCUCAUGUGUUUCAGUGUAAUUUAGAGAGCAGUGUGGAGAAUAUCAUCUCACCAAAGAUGAAGAUGGCAUUACAGACAUGAGUACAUCUUUUUCUGGGACUAGUUUGAACAGGAAGGCCAAAUACCUUCUUUCAGACUGUAAUGAAGCAUUCAUUAAGAUAAAGAUGGCUUUUUGGCCAGGUGUUGUUGACCUGAGAAAAAUCGGGGAGCAGCUUAUAACACCAUUACUUUACUUGAAGAAUUUCAUGACUUUGAUCAGCCGUUGCCUGACUUAGAUGACAUUGAUGAGGCCCAGGAGUUCAGCUUGGAUCAGAGUAGAGUGGAAGAGAUAACCAUGAGAGAAGAAGUUGGGAAUAUCAGUAUGUUACAAGAAAAUUAUUUUGGUGAUUUUGGAAUGGAUGAUCGUGAGACAAUGAAAGAAGGCAGUGCUUUUGUGAACGUUAGCAAGCACUGCUGCUUCUAACCUCAGAUUAGCAUCUGAACAGAGCACCAGCAAUCUGAAUGAGAAAAUUAACCAUUUAGAAUAUAAAGACCAAUAUAAAGACAACAAUUUUGGAGAAGGAAAUGAUGGUGGAAUAUUAGAUGACAAACUUAGUAAUAAUGAUGGUGGUAUCUUUGAUGAUCCCCUGCCCUCUCUGAGGCAGGGGUGAUGUUGCCAGAGCAGCCUGCACAUGAUGAUAUGGAUGAGGAUGAUAAUGUAUUAACGGGUGGGCCUGAGAGUCCUGAUUCAGGAUCCUGUUGAACCAGCCAACUAUGAUCAAACAACACCUGUUACAAUGAGGAAGAAGCAUUUGCAUUGGAACCUAUUGCUAUAACUGUUGAAGAAACAAAAGCCAAGAUGAAGAGGAAGCUAAUUGUUGACAGUAUCAAAGACUCGAAUAGCAAGACAAUCAGAGCCCAACUUAGUGAUUCUUCUGAUAUUGUUACUACUUUGGGUCUGGCACCACCUACCAAGAAAUAGGUGAUGUGGAAAGAGACAGGAGGAGUAAAAAAACUGUUUUCUUUACCUGCUCAGCCUUUGUGGAAUAACAUACUACUAAAGUUCUUUACAUGCUGUCUCACACCACUUGUACCAGAAGACCUUAGAAAAAGGAGGAAAGAAGAGGCAGAUAAUUUGGAUGAGUUCCUCAAAAAACUUGAAAAUCCAGAGGUUCCUAGAGAGGACCGGUAACAGUUACACCAGCUGCAUGAUGUUAUCGAUGACCCCAUUUUGGAAGAGCCAAGCCGCCUCCAGGAGUCAGUAAUGGAAGCCAGCAGAACAAACCUGGACAUGUCAACUAUGCCUCCAUCACCACCUCAGGGAGUUAAGCAAAAAGCUGGACAAAUUGACCCAGAGCCUAUGAUGCCUCCUCAGCAGGUAGAGAAGAGGAAAUAUUGCCUGUAGAACUUCCCCUAGAAGAACCUCCAAAUAUCUGUCAGCUAACACCAGAGUUAGAACUUCUGCCAGAAAAAGAGAAGGAGAAAGAAAAGGAAAAAAAAAAGAUGAUGAAGAGGAAAUGGAUGAAGAUACUUCAGGGGGUAAUCAAGAUCAGGAAGAAAGAAGAUGGAAGAAAAGGACUCAGCAGAUGCUUCAUGGUCUUCAGUGAGCUCUUGCUAAAACAGGAGCUGAAUCUAUCAGUUUGCUUGAGUUAUGUCAAAACACAAACAGAAAACAAGCUGCCGCAAAGUUCGACAGCUUCUUAGUUCUUAGAAAGCAGCAAGCUAUUGAGCUGACACAUGAAGAACCAUACAGUGACAUCAUCCCAACACCUGGACCAAAGUUCCGUAUUUUAUGAGGAGCUAGAAGCAUUAUACCUAGUGUUCAUUUCAUUAGUGCUUAUAAAUUGCUCCCAUGUGUAGGGUACAGAGAACCCUUUGAGAAAACAAGAUUUUUGUCUAUACAAAAUAUUUGCCUUUUUCUUUCUUCCUUUUUUCCUAGUAUGUUAAAUUUGUCAAUUACAUCUUUGAGGGAAACUGAUUAGAUAGGUUGUUUGUGUUCUGAUGGAGAAAACAGCACCCCAAGGACUCAGAAGAUUAUUUUAACAGUUCAGAACAGAUGUGUGCAAUAUUGGUGCAUGUAAUAGUGUUGAGUGGCAGUUGAAAGACAUUUUUAUCUUAGUUCAUUACUGCAUUAAACAGGAAAACCUGUCUGGGAAAAUGCCUGACAGUUUAAUUUAAAACUAUGGUAUGAGUCUUUGACAAGAAAAAAAAAGCCUUUCCAUCAGUAACACUGGCAAUCUUCUUGUUAACCACUCUCCUUAUGGAUGGUACCUGAAAUAACAAGUCAUCCUCUUGAGAUUUGUUUUAAGUGUAAUACCCUGAUGAGCAAAGAUGUACGUGAAAUUGUAUUGUGACUGAUAGCCUUCAGCUACAAAUAGAUAGGACUGACUUGGUUUAAAGUGUUCUAUUUUGUAAAUCAUUCCAUUUGAGUCUUUCUGAUGAACUUGGCUAUCCCCAAAAUCUGUCAUUUUACUGAGGCUCCAAAAUGAGCAGAAAUAGGCCUGAUUAGAGUAGAGCAACUAUCAAAAGACAUAACUUUCUAGAAGCUAUAAAUCAAGGUUUUAAAAAGAUGUUUGGAUAUAUUUGAGUAUUCAGAUCAUAAAGACAGAAAGUGCCCUGCCUACUACAAGGACAGACUGAUGGGAAAUUAUAUACCAGGUCAACUUAACGUUUAAGCAGACAAUGCUGUAAAAACUAAUGACUUCUCUGAUAUUUUUUAUAAGUUUUAGUACUGAUCUCCUUUUCCAGUGCUGCACACUCCUGUGUUUGAAACUUUAAUAGCUUUGCAAUGAAAUCCUAUAUCCAGUUUACUGUAAUUUAACUGAAGAAAAACACAUCCAAAUAAAGGUCUAUAUUA